AAGUGGAUAAAAUUCAGGGCUGGGAAGGAAAAAUUAUACACCUCUAAGCUCUAAGCCUAUCUUCUCUCUUCCAGACAAGGGUCUGAGGAGGAAAAGCUAUCUCUACUCUCUCCAUCUCACCAACUACUGAUUAUUCUCUCAUUCUUUGCUUUCAAGAUUCUCUGUUUUACCUGCUUAGUUGGGGUCUCAGGAGGAGUUGAGGACCAAGAGAGAAUGAGACUAGGUGGAGAGACAAGAUACUGCCCACAAGCCACCCUUUUAGACAUGAUCACA